GCAGUCGUGGCCGAGUGGUUAAGGCGAUAGACUAGAAAUCCAUUGGGAUCUCCCCGCACAGGUUCGAAUCCUGUCGACUGCG
rnacentral:tRNA from 1 species